AACAAGGAGGUGUCUGUACAGCCAUUCCAAGGCUGGUCUCUUCUGCUCUCCAGUGACUCACCUUUUCGCGAAUACCACGAGUCCUAAAUAAAGGUGUCGGAAGCUCUCUUACUGAGAAUACCAUUCUGGACAUGUUGAAUAGCCUGUUUGAACUAUAUACAUUAAAAAUAGUUUAGAUACAAAAGGGCUCUGCAAUUUUCUGAUAAAGCUUGACUUAUGAGCUACUGUACUAGAGUUAUGAGAAAUAACAGAUUUAUGGUUCUAGAUUUGUGAGACGUACUUUCCACUUUGUUAUGUAUCACAACUAGUUGUUGUGUAAGACAAUUUCCUUUGAAAAAAAUCCUUUCAAAAGGUUUCCUUUGGAAACAAACAGGUUUCGUAGUUCAGAUGAAACAAAUUCAUUGGCUUCGUCCUUUUAAAACCAGUAUCUACUAGUAAGACGUUAUCAAAAAGCUACGACGUUUAUUGUGAAAGAAACAUCGUUUAUAUAUGGUCGGCUCUGUAAAUAUGGACAGUGGCUAUUCUGCCAGGAGUACUGUGUAGCAACUCCGUAUCUUAAAAGAAUCAAACCAAUGCAGCGUAAUUAUUCUUCUUGCUAUUUUUAUUAUAUGCCGUGAUUUGUGUAAGGAUUUAAAAAUAAAAUUAGUCAUUAAUUGGGAUGUGAUAGUGUAUUACCAUUUGAUGAGCUAUGGAUACGUUUGUUUCUCUGCGUUCCACGUUUUUGCACCAUACCCAUAUAUUGUCUCGUGUGGAUUCGUUUCUUUAAAGUCAGGCAGAACCAAAGUUAUUAACUUGGUAUAGUUAUCAUGCCAUUACAAUUCCAUUUUGGUCCAACCGACAUAAUGUUUUGAAAAGCUACAGAUAUGAAGCUGAUCACCGACAUGAUGCUUUUCACACUCCGAACUGCAUGAUGCUGUUAAGCUGACUGAAUGGGAUUCAAAAUCUUUUUUUUAUUUUCAGAUUUCCAGUUCCCUUUUAUUACUCAGGCAGUUGUUGACUUCUAAUGCGACGAUUGCAGUCUUAUGGAUCUUAAUGAUAAGAAGACACGUGAUAUACUUUCUACUGGGCUGGAAGAAAUGUUUACAUCAUUUUUUGUCUAUUUAUGUUCUAUCCCUUUUUUCUAGUUACCGCGUUUAAGCACCCACCGACAUUGUUGUUGAACUAAAUGACGAUUUUGAUGUUAUCAGUCCAUACAUUGAUUAUAAGUUAUGUUUCAAUAAACCAAUUUCCUCAAAUUGCCUUAUAAAACCGAGCACUAUUAGUACGAAAGCAGUCAAACUGGUUGACAAUUUUGGUUGUUGAAUGUCAUUGUAUGCCGAUCACUUGUUCCCAGCACCCGAUAAGUUGACUCGGAAAUCCUGUAGCCUGCAGAACAGGCGGAUUAACGGGGCACGGCGAAACGCGAUACACGAGCGCAGAGCGGGACCACUUGAGCAAAGCGCGAGUCGAAAAAAAUCCGCCUGUAUUUUUCGACUCGUGCCUCGCGCUCGUGGUUCCGCGCUCGUGUAUCACGCUUCGCGGUGUGCUCCGCUAAUCCGCCUGUUCAGCAGGCUAGAACUCCUGUUAACCCGACCCUUUCUUGAUUGACAUUUUUUCCCGUAAUGUAAUACUGCAGAUAUUCAUUAUUUACUUGCCAGAACAGACGUGACCUCUGUUCAGAUCACCUAGAGUUUUCAGCGAAAUUCGAUUGCUUCACAUUCCACUUCACAAUUCAACAUCAAAAAGCUAUGGAUGGCUACGCUAAAGAGGCGAAAAUAAUGUUAAUAGAGAAACUUAGCGGGAAUCUUCACAAGGCUUCCUCGUUUUUAUCUGUUAGCGCAAUUCUGUUGACGUUCGCACUGUUCAUAAGAAUGGAGACAGUGGUUAAUAAUACCAAGAUGAUGGAUUCAAAAUUCACUAUGGAAAUUCAACAAAUCAAAGAUGCUCUGAGAGAAGACAAAGCUUCUCAUCAAACUCGUGUGAAAGAGAACUUUGAUGUUGUCAGUGGUAAGUGAUGAAAGAAGAAAUAUUGAAACAAAGGUUUAAAGAAAGUAAAUCCCGUCUUGUUAUCGGACCCCUUCUGAUGAACAAGGUAUCUAUUGUCUCGAAGCUUUGCACGGUAACAACGGGUUUGGUGCAAUGCUUAUUUACGGUGUCGAUGAACACGAAAGCUGAAGGUUUUUGUCUUCCCUGUCUGUAAUGCUUUCAGCAGAGAAUACAGUUGGCAAGCAAGCAAAGUUUCGCAUCAACAACAGAAUCAUUUUAGUUUAGUUUGCAGAGCGUUGUACUGGUGUUAUAUUUUUUGUAUCAGCUCGGCCCGGAUGGGUUGGUAAUUUAAUUUGUCCAUUUUGGCGCAUUUUGCCGGCAUUAAAAGGUUGCCAACCGUUGAUGUUUCAAAACGCAGAAGUUAGGAUUUGAAUCCAGUGACUGACCUUUUCACUUUUUAUUGAAAUGGAGACAUUCAAACGACUAGUGACCCCGUAUUUUGUUUCAUGAACUGAAACAGACAAAACUGCAUUGAUCUUGCGAAAAACAAGAACAACUAGAAAAUCAACUCAAGUUUCAUAGUUCUAUACGGUAAAUAGAUUUGAUCUUCAAUCUGAAGACUAAUUUAAUGCAGAUAUUACCUCAAAGACUGUUGUUGACCAGAGCUAUAAGAUUGUCAUCUAAAUUAGACUGCUGGCAGUCCCCCUCACCAAUGCGUUCAUGCUCACGAACCCCGGGACACGAACAAACACCCGUCCGACCUAAGGAGAAAAGCUGAGAAAAGACCGGCUGCCAGCAGUCUUAAACCAAAUAGACGUUAAUAAACCCCGUGUAACUAACAAAAAAAAAAUUGUUAAAGCCAUUAAAACGUUCUCUGGUUGAAAUUUAGAUUAAAAUAAGCUUUCGGCUUCCAACCUGCAGCUUUUGACGAAUGAUCAGAAAGACGCGAAUGAAUGAAUAAGUAGAGUGAAAAGAGUGAAGGUAUCAUUAAAGGUAUCAUUAAAGUGGUGACCGCAAAAGGGAAUUUGGAUAAUGAAAAGAGACUAAUUCUAUUGUUAGUAGUCUAGAAUUAUUGUCCGCCUUAUUAGUCAUGGCAGUGUGCCAGGACUCGAGAGAUUGUGGCACACGAUAACCGCUCUUUUCACAUAUUCUAGCGUUGUUGUUCACUUACUCUAGCCUGAGCAGCGUUGUCGAAGUCGAUUUGAUGGUCGUUCAACAAUAAUAUAACUCCAAGUACAGUCACUGCAGGAGGCGGCUAGUCUCCUCCGCAGCCGUUAUUAGGGUCGUCACGCAACGGUGGAGAAGCGUUGCGUGACGACCCUAAUAACGGCUGUGGAGGAGACUAGGAGGCGUCUGGGUGGCCUGAAUUUCGGCGAAGGGAAUUCUUGCUGUUGAUUUCUGUAUGGUCUGGAAACAACUUCGAAUUCCAUUGUUAUAAGUAAUCUUUGAAGUGGUUCAGUGACACCAUUGACGUAGGGCAGACAAGCGAAAUCAAAACUGGGCACAGAUGGCUCAGCCCACUUGAAAAAAAUGCCGACUAAUUCUUCUGGGCAAGGAAUGUUUUCCACGGCAGGUUUAUUCUUUAAGAUGUUGGUAAUGAUCGACAGGGGGUAACCAUGGGUCGGUACUAAACGUGAACCCCUCAAUCUGGACCCCCUUCUGGACCCCAUUCUGGACCCCUAUCUGGUCGCCCUCUUUUUCCUUCCAAAAAAUAUGGGCUCCUGAUUUAAAUAAUUAAACUAAGAGCGGGUCCAGAAAGGGGUCCAGUAGGGGGUCCAGAUUGAGGGGUCCACGUUUUUUACCGACCCGUGGAAACCAUUUUCUUCCAAAGCACGAGUAGCAUGUUUCAGUUCAUUAUAUUUUGCUUCAGUUGUACUUGGGAGGUUCGGGGCCCGAUAAGCUGUACGGUUUUGUGCUUCCCUUCAAGGUGGAAACCAAUCGUUAUGUGUCGGUUUUCUAGAAACUUGAAUAGAAACCAUUCCAUUAAUCCGGGUCACCAAGGUGUCCAAAAACUAGAUUUAUCCAUUACUUUCGGUUUCAAUCGAGGUAGAGAUCUUAGGGUCGAUUGGAUUCAAAGUGUCAGAGGGCGUCUUUCUUGAUGAUGAGAAGAUGUCGUGGCUUUUUUUGUAGAAACAAUCCUUGUGAACAGAAUAGUUGUUAGAAAGAACAAAUUCCGAAAGGGA